AUGGCUGUUCAUCUACCUUUAUCCUUGGAAGCUCAGGCAGAAGCCCGUUUACUUAUGUUUUCUCAUAUGAAUCUCUUAUCUCCCGCUAUUGGGGAUCCUAUUUGCGUACCAACCCAAGACAUGCUUAUCGGGCUUUAUGUAUUAACGAUUGGAAAGCGUCGAGGUAUUUGUGCAAAUAGAUAUAAUAGUUGCAGAAACUAUCCAAAUCUAAAAGUAAAUUACAAUAAUAAUAACAAUUCUAAAUAUAGGAAAGAUAAAGAACCCCAUUUUUCUAGUUCUUAUGAUGCACUGGGAGCUUAUAGACAAAAACUAAUCAGUUUAGAUAGUCCCUUAUGGCUACGAUGGAACCUGGAUCAACGCAUCAUUGGGUCAAGAGAAGUUCCGAUUGAAGUUCAAUAUGAAUCUUUGGGGACUUAUCAUGAGAUUUAUGCCCACUAUCUAAUAAUGGGAAAUAGAAAAAAAGAAAUUCGUUCGAUAUACAUUCGAACCACUCUUGGUCAUAUUUCUUUUUAUAGAGAAAUAGAGGAAGCCAUACAAGGAUUUAGUCAGGCCUAUUCAUACACUACCUAA
rnacentral:rRNA from 1 species